UUCCUUUUCAAAAAAUUCAGCUAAUAGGUGUAACUCAAUAAUUGAUUUAUUCAUCUGUUGCAGGUUAAAAUUCAGAAGGAAAGUGAAGUUAGAUUGAAGAUUAUUGGUACACGUGUUGAUGCCACAGAAAUUUUCUGUAUUGGUACGAUAAAGGAUGAUUUUCUGGGUGUGAUCAGUGAUCCAGGCGCAAAUGCUUGAAACGCGCACAUACUUGACCUUUGUAUAUAGCUGCUCCUGUACCUUUUUGAGGAGAAGUGAUGUUUUUUUCAUGGUUGAAAUAUUGUAAUAGAAGCUUCAUGUAAUUUCCUCUUUAGAACGAAGCCCAGAUCGAGUUGAUUUGUAUCUGCAGCUAGAUUCCAAGGUAAGGUUUGUCCUCCUUACUUGUACUUUCCUCUUUCCUUUUUGAGGUACCAUUAAUUUAAGUCCACACUGGUGUUCCGCCUGGGUGGAGAUGUUCAUCUCCAAUUUAUGCUUCUAUAUUUGAAAACAUAAAAGGUUAUAUCUCUGGUUAUGUGGGUUAAUGAUGCAUUUCAACAGUGUUUUCAAUUGAAUGAGAUAUCUGUUGAGGGUCA